UACGGAGGGGGCAAGCGUUGUUCGGAAUUACUGGGCGUAAAGGGCUCGUAGGCGGCCAACUAAGUCGGAUGUGAAAUCCCCAGGCUCAACUUGGGAACUGCAUCCGAUACUGGAUGGCUUGAAUUCGGGAGAGGGAUGCAGAAUUCCAGGUGUAGCGGUGAAAUGCGUAGAUAUCUGGAGGAAUACCGGUGGCGAAGGCGGCAUCCUGGACCGGCAUUGACGCUGAGGAGCGAAAGCUAGGGGAGCAAACGGG
rnacentral:rRNA from 1 species